rnacentral:rRNA from 1 species
AACGAACGCUGGCGGCAGGCCUAACACAUGCAAGUCGAGCGGGCGUAGCAAUACGUCAGCGGCGGACGGGUGAGUAACACGUGGGAAUAUGCCUUUCGGUUUGGAACAACUCGGGGAAACCCGUGCUAAUUCCGGAUACGCCCUUAGGGGGAAAGGAUUUAUCGCCGAAAGAUUAGCCCGCGUCCGAUUAGCUAGUUGGUGAGGUAACGGCCCACCAA